rnacentral:lncRNA from 1 species
GUCAAAAAUCUAUAGAGAGAGAAGGCAAGCUUCGUAAAAAAUCUAGAGAGAGAGAGAGAGACGAGUGGGUAUAGAUCUAAUGUGGAAGCGAUAAGAAUGCAGCUGCGAGCUUGGGACCAAAUGACGAGUUUGGCGGAGACUUAGAGAAGUAGAAAAGCAUAAAACUUGGACAAAAAGAAGCUAGUGGAGAGAGAAUCCAAGAUUAAAAAAAAAGG